CACUGCACACUGUACACCCACCCACAUUACUCGGCGAUAACUUACCAGUUUACAGCAGUAAGUGCAAGAAAAAUCAUGAAGUUUGUCUGUCUAUUUUUGGCUUUGUCUCUGGGAAUCUUGACCGUAACCAACGGCCAGAAUGUCCCGAAGGGCUCAAGGAUUGCAUACAACUCAUGCACGUACGAAGGAACAACCUACGCAGAUCGCAAGUUUGUGAAGGCCCUCGCUAAAAACGACUGUGAAGAUUGUUCCUGUUUUCAAAACGAGUACAUCCAUUGCUAUG